GGGAUAGCCAGCAGACUCUUGCAGUCAGUGCCACCCUUGCCCCUGGGCUGUGCAGAAGUGAAGGCAGGACACAGGGCUGAGGAGGAAACCGGAAGCACCUCCCUCCCACGCUGCAGGACAACCAUACAAAGGGCCUCCUCUGCGGCCAUGCAGGAUGGGCUGGGCUGGCAGGGGAGGGCUGAGAUUGUCGCCCAGUGCAGGGCCAGGACAGCUGCAAAUGAAACACAGGCCUAGAGCACUCAGGGAGGCAGGCAUCCAUCUUUCCCGGAGCCAAGAAAUCCCGGCCAAGAGCUCAGCUCCAGAGCGAGGAAAAGCACCAGGCAAUACUUGAAACCAAGCAAGCCCCCUGGAAAUGUUGGAUUCCUGACAGGUAAAGAGCCAAGCCAAGGGCUUUUUUCCUGCUGGCCCAAGCACAAAAGCCAAGGACUCUGGAGAAGUGGGAGAUCAGCCUGGAGGGGACUCGGCAAACAGAAGAAAGCUCUUGAGGCCAGAAAAGAUUCGCCCCCCUCAGAUCCCAAUGCUCAUAUCCAGUCAGUGUGGAGGAAGGGACACUUGGUGUCACAAACCUUCAAGGCCACCUCCUGGUGGAGGCUCCAGCGACAGGCGCCAUGGCAGUGUGCAGGUCCUGUGAUGAUCUUUCCAUUGAUGCUAUCAACCAAGGAGGAACACCUUGACUUUCCUUAGGAGUCUGUUGCCCCCCAAUGGUCGCCAGCAGUUCCCGUGGUCCACGGGACAGCCAGCAUGAGGCCAUGUGAAAUCCAGCCUGAGACUGUGCCUUCUUCCUUGGCAUGAGGGUGGUAUCUGCUGUGGCCACUGCUUUGGUGACUAUCUUCCUGCCAAGCGCCUCCAGCUACCUCCUUCCACCUACUUGUGCUUCUUUCUCCUUUCUGUCUCAUGCCAGCUCCCUCAGUGGAAAGACUGAGUGUCCUUAAAGGAUCCUUCCUCAGCCCCUGACACCCAGGAACCUACUCAGCUUAAAAACAGCCUUCUUCAGCCUGCUGCCUGCUGCCUCCUCACCGAGAACUGGAGGCUUCCAACUAGGGUGCCUCCCCCUUAACCCACACAUCCUUAGGCGACUGAGCCUGAGCGGAGUGAAAGGUUCUCUCUGACAUGGUUAGCAGAGGCUCAGAGCUUACAGAAGUUACUGACUAUACAGAAAUGCCAUGAGAACGGCAUGCAGGAAGAACCAAUUACAGGGUGGCCUGGGGGCUCUCUCCCUGUGUGCACCCGGCACACUGAGAGGUGUCAGUGUAGUGGUAGACAGUGAUAUAGAUGAAGAUAUCAGCUGAGAAUGAGGGGAAGAGGAGGCCUACUGAGCACAUAGAGAGACACUGUCUAAAGUUAAAUAAAUAAGUCCUAUUCAUGGUAGUACGCACUUGUAAUUUUAGAGCUGGGAGGUAGAGGCAAGGUCUGUCCUACCCACAGCAGUGAUUUGAAUGGGAAUGGCCCUAAUAGACUCCUGUAUCUGCACACUCAGUCCUCAGCUGGAGAACUGUUUGAGAAGGAUUAGGAGGUGUGGCCUUGGAGGAGGAGCGUAACUAAGGGUGGGCUUUGGAGGUUUCAAAGCCUAAGCCAGGCCCAUUCUUUCUCCCUUUCCCUCUCCCCCUCCCCCUCCCCUUCUCUCUCCCUUUCCCUCUCCUUUCUCUCUCUCCCGACCUACAGAUCAGAUUGUAGCUCUCCUCUACUACUGCUCCAGCACCAUACCUGCCUCCUCGAGGCCAGUGUGCUCCCCACCAUGAUGAUGAUGGACUAACCCUCUGAAAUUGUAAGCAAUGCUCCGAUUAAAUAUUGCCCUUUAUAAGAGUCGCCUGGGACAUGAUGACUCUUCACAAUAAGAGGUCAUCUUGAGGUGAGAUCACCCAUGUGAUGAGUUCAAGUCCAGCCUGAGCUACAUAAGACCCUAUCUCAAAAUGGAAUCAGCUACUCAAACACAUGACAUACGUAGCAAGUGUCUAGAGUCCAGCCCACAGUAAUCUACGAACAUACUCGUUUCCUAAAUUGUAGUGUUUUGGGGAUGAGAACUAUCCCCUAGAGGCUCAAGGAUUUGAACUUGGUCCCCUGUGGUUUUGGGGUCAUUUAAGAUACAAAGCCUCCAAAGUUUUGGAGGACGUAUGUCACUGGGGGUGGACUUGGAUAUUACAUAGGCUCACCCCAUCCGCAACUCACUCUCCUGCUUUGUACUUGUGGUAGAGAUAUGAGCUUUCAAUUUUCUGAUCCGGCCACCAUGCCUACCUGCUGUCAUGCCUCCCAAUGAUGAAUUCUUACUCUCUGGAACAGAAGCCCAAAUAAAUUCUUCUCUCUAUAAAUUGCCUUGGUCAUGGUCUUUUGUCU
rnacentral:lncRNA from 14 species